CUACGGGGUGCUGCAGCUAAGAAUCUUCCGCAAUGGGCGAAAGCCUGACGGAGCGACGCCGCGUGGGUGAAGAAGGCCGAGAGGUUGUAAAGCCCUUUUCUGUCUGAGGAAUAAGCCUGGGAGGGAAUGCCCGGGUGAUGACGGUAAGACAGGAAUAAGCCCCGGCGAAUUACGUGCCAGCAGCCGCGGUAACACGUAUGGGGCGAGCGUUGUUCGGAAUCAUUGGGCGUAAAGGGCGCGUAGGCGGAGAUGCAAGUCUGGUGUGAAAUACCGCAGCUUAACUGCGGGACCGCGCUGGAAACUGCAGAUCUUGAGUUCCGGAGGGGGAGUUGGAAUUCCUGGUGUAGGGGUGAAAUCUGUUGAUAUCAGGAAGAACACCGGUGGCGAAGGCGAACUCCUGGACGGAAACUGACGCUGAGGCGCGAAAGCGUGGGGAGCGAACAGGAUUAGAUACCCGGGUAGUC
rnacentral:rRNA from 1 species